GUGGCCUGGAAGAGGAGUGGCCGAAUGUGUCUCCAACUGCAAGGCAGGACCCAGACUGAGCAGGAAAAGGUGACAACUGCCCACUCAUCAUGGCCUCUGUAAAGCAGGCAGGCCACGGACCAUCAAAGAUGGAGGAGGAGUGUGUGUACGCGCACAGGAGUGUAUUCAAGAGUGCGAGCGAAUGAGCAAUGGAACUGGUCAGAACUGGGCCCAGCACAACAUAACCAAUAUCUGUGCCCGGCCAGAGUGCCUCGUCACCCCCAGUGCCUUUUAAAGACUCUGAAUAAAUGGGAUUUCUGGGAAGACACUGAAGUGAAAACCUGCCUUCUGCUAAAUCCUGGCCCACCUGCUUAAAAAUUCCAUCUCCUCUCUUGGAAGGAAAAAGGAGGAAAGAGAAGGCCCCUCCUCCACCGGAGUCUGAUUUAAAUGCUGGGACCACAGCUCUGUGCCUUCGCCUCUCCUGAUGUCUGAAUAUAUUCCUUUAUUAUCAUUAUGACAGCUUUCUGAUUGCAUUAAAAUUCAUCCACACGUGC